AGAGUUUGAUCCUGGCUCAGAAUCAACGCUGGCGGCGUGCCUAACACAUGCAAGUCGAACGAGAAAGUGGAGCAAUCCAUGAGUACAGUGGCGACCGGGUGAGUAACACGUGAUCAACCUACCCUCGAGUGGGGGAUAACUCCGGGAAACCGGAGCUAAUACCGCAUAACAUCUUCGGUCCACAUGAACUGAUGAUCAAAGGAGCAAUUCGCUUGAGGAGGGGGUCGCGGCUGAUUAGCUAGUUGGUAGGGUAAUGGCCUACCAAGGCUUAGAUCGGUAUCCGGCCUGAGAGGGCGCACGGACACACUGGAACUGAAACACGGUCCAGACUCCUACGGGAGGCAGCAGUGGGGAAUUUUGCGCAAUGGGGGAAACCCUGACGCAGCAACGCCGCGUGGAGGAUGAAGUCCCUUGGGACGUAAACUCCUUUCGACCGGGAAGAUACUGACGGUACCGGAUGAAGAAGCACCGGCUAACUCUGUGCCAGCAGCCGCGGUA
rnacentral:rRNA from 1 species